rnacentral:rRNA from 1 species
AAAUUGAAGAGUUUGAUCAUGGCUCAGAUUGAACGCUGGCGGCAGGCCUAACACAUGCAAGUCGAACGGUAACAGGAAACAGCUUGCUGUUUCGCUGACGAGUGGCGGACGGGUGAGUAAUGUCUGGGAAACUGCCUGAUGGAGGGGGAUAACUACUGGAAACGGUAGCUAAUACCGCAUAACGUCGCAAGACCAAAGAGGGGGACCUUCGGGCCUCUUGCCAUCGGAUGUGCCCAGAUGGGAUUAGCUUGUUGGUGGGGUAACGGCUCACCAAGGCGACGAUCCCUAGCUGGUCUGAGAGGAUGACCAGCCACACUGGAACUGAGACACGGUCCAGACUCCUACGGGAGGCAGCAGUGGGGAAUAUUGCACAAUGGGCGCAAGCCUGAUGCAGCCAUGCCGCGUGUAUGAAGAAGGCCUUCGGGUUGUAAAGUACUUUCAGCGGGGAGGAAGGGAGUAAAGUUAAUACCUUUGCUCAUUGACGUUACCCGCAGAAGAAGCACCGGCUAACUCCGUGCCAGCAGCCGCGGUAAUACGGAGGGUGCAAGCGUUAAUCGGAAUUACUGGGCGUAAAGCGCACGCAGGCGGUUUGUUAAGUCAGAUGUGAAAUCCCCGGGCUCAACCUGGGAACUGCAUCUGAUACUGGCAAGCUUGAGUCUCGUAGAGGGGGUAGAAUUCCAGGUGUAGCGGUGAAAUGCGUAGAGAUCUGGAGGAAUACCGGUGGCGAAGGCGGCCCCCUGGACGAAGACUGACGCUCAGGUGCGAAAGCGUGGGGAGCAAACAGGAUUAGAUACCCUGGUAGUCCACGCCGUAAACGAUGUCGACUUGGAGGUUGUGCCCUUGAGGCGUGGCUUCCGGAGCUAACGCGUUAAGUCGACCGCCUGGGGAGUACGGCCGCAAGGUUAAAACUCAAAUGAAUUGACGGGGGCCCGCACAAGCGGUGGAGCAUGUGGUUUAAUUCGAUGCAACGCGAAGAACCUUACCUGGUCUUGACAUCCACGGAAGUUUUCAGAGAUGAGAAUGUGCCUUCGGGAACCGUGAGACAGGUGCUGCAUGGCUGUCGUCAGCUCGUGUUGUGAAAUGUUGGGUUAAGUCCCGCAACGAGCGCAACCCUUAUCCUUUGUUGCCAGCGGUCCGGCCGGGAACUCAAAGGAGACUGCCAGUGAUAAACUGGAGGAAGGUGGGGAUGACGUCAAGUCAUCAUGGCCCUUACGACCAGGGCUACACACGUGCUACAAUGGCGCAUACAAAGAGAAGCGACCUCGCGAGAGCAAGCGGACCUCAUAAAGUGCGUCGUAGUCCGGAUUGGAGUCUGCAACUCGACUCCAUGAAGUCGGAAUCGCUAGUAAUCGUGGAUCAGAAUGCCACGGUGAAUACGUUCCCGGGCCUUGUACACACCGCCCGUCACACCAUGGGAGUGGGUUGCAAAAGAAGUAGGUAGCUUAACCUUCGGGAGGGCGCUUACCACUUUGUGAUUCAUGACUGGGGUGAAGUCGUAACAAGGUAACCGUAGGGGAACCUGCGGUUGGAUCACCUCCUUACCUUAAAGAAGC